rnacentral:tRNA from 1 species
GCUGGCGCUGGCCGGGAUGGCGGUGAUCGCGCUGCAGCCGCGCGGCUGAGCGACUGCAGCGGCCGGCUGUCCGAUAUCGCCGGGCCGGCG